rnacentral:rRNA from 1 species
GAUCAUGGCUCAGGAUGAACGCUGGCGGCGUGCUUAACACAUGCAAGUCGAGCGAAGCACUUAGGAAAGAUUCUUCGGAGGAUUUCCUAUUUGACUGAGCGGCGGACGGGUGAGUAACGCGUGGGUAACCUGCCUCAUACAGGGGGAUAACAGUUAGAAAUGACUGCUAAUACCGCAUAAGACCACAGCACCGCAUGGUGCNGGGGUAAAAACUCCGGUGGUAUGAGAUGGACCCGCG